UACAGAUAAUUAAAAUAAAUAUUAUUCUCUUCAUAAAUAUCUACUAGAGUAUAAAGCAUUGAUAUGGUUCAGGUGGCUUUAUAUGCUAGAAUAACAUAGGCAUAGGCCACCCCAAAACAUUGAGGCCUGGGCUUCAACACUGUAACAGCAGCUGUCUUUAUAUAUUUUCAAAUUGCUUGCAAUACAAACCAAGAGCGUCAUGUUGGUACAGCCGGCCAGAAUGUUAAGAAGCAGUGGUGUUCAGCUUCAGGAUGAGUAGUAAAAUUGUGAGAGUGGAUAGCAACUUAAGAAUACAGUUUGCUGAGUCUUAAGAAGCAGCGGUGUUUAUUUUCACGAUGAGUAUAUACAAUUGAUAAAAUGGUUAACAGCACAAGAAUACCUGAUGCUGAGUGGCAUGUUGGUAAGCAGGCAGAAUGAAAUAUUGCAGUGACGUGUUGAACAGCAGUGCUGUUGAAUUUAAUGAAACAUGCUUUAAAAACUUCAAACAGUGGAUGCCAGAUUUUGAUAGCUUGCUACAGUUAAUUCAUUUGCAUACUGAACCAGACCAGCAGUCCUCAUUACCAGGCAGAGAAAUGAUGAAUAUUCAUUGCAAUCAACUUGAAACUGCAAAACUCAUGAAAACUACAGAACUAACACCAAGUCAAGAACAACUUCUGAGAGGCAUAUAUAUCUUUCAGCGGGGCCAAGGGUGGUGGGUGGCGCGUAGGUUCCACGCGUGGCGAUCGCCCAUCAUAGGCGAUCGCUUCCGCUUGGAUAAUCCCAACUGUCUUAUUGCGCGAAACGCUGACGAAAUUUUCCAAAAAAGUUUUGUUAAGAUUUAUUGGAUUGUACAGUAUGUGUCGUUUGAAAUACAGUACACUACAAAUGAG